rnacentral:rRNA from 1 species
AGUAACGAUAAAGCGGGUGAAAAGCCCGCUCGCCGGAAGACCAAGGGUUCCUGUCCAACGUUAAUCGGGGCAGGGUGAGUCGACCCCUAAGGCGAGGCCGAAAGGCGUAGUCGAUGGGAAACAGGUUAAUAUUCCUGUACUUGGUGUUACUGCGAAGGGGGGACGGAGAAGGCUAUGUUGGCCGGGCGACGGUUGUCCCGGUUUAAGCGUGUAGGCUGGUUUUCCAGGCAAAUCCGGAAAAUCAAGGCUGAGGCGUGAUGACGAGGCACUACGGUGCUGAAGCAACAAAUGCCCUGCUUCCAGGAAAAGCCUCUAAGCAUCAGGUAACAUCAAAUCGUACCCCAAACCGACACAGGUGGUCAGGUAGAGAAUACCAAGGCGCUUGAGAGAACUCGGGUGAAGGAACUAGGCAAAAUGGUGCCGUAACUUCGGGAGAAGGCACGCUGAUAUGUAGGUGAAGUCCCUCGCGGAUGGAGCUGAAAUCAGUCGAAGAUACCAGCUGGCUGCAACUGUUUAUUAAAAACACAGCACUGUGCAAACACGAAAGUGGACGUAUACGGUGUGACGCCUGCCCGGUGC